GGAUAAACGCUGGCGGCGUGCAUGAGACAUGCAAGUCGAACGAAGGAUCGGGCUUGCUCGAUCCUUAGUGGCGGACGGCUGAGUAACGCGUAGGUGACCUACCCCGAAGUGGGGAAUAACUGCCCGAAAGGGCGGCUAAUACCGCAUGUGGUCGCACGUUCAUUCGUGCGAGUAAAGCCGCAAGGCGCUUCGGGAGGGGCCUGCGUCCGAUUAGCUCGUUGGUGGGGUAAUGGCUUACCAAGGCGACGAUCGGUAGGUGGUCUGAGAGGACGAUCACCCAGACUGGGACUGAGACACGGCCCAGACUCCUACGGGAGGCAGCAGUCGGGAAUUUUGCUCAAUGGGGGAAACCCUGAAGCAGCAACGCCGCGUGAGGGAUGAAGGCCUUCGGGUUGUAAACCUCUUUUGUCAGGGACGAUGAUGACGGUACCUGGCGAAUAAGCCACGGCUAACUACGUG
rnacentral:rRNA from 1 species